UUAGAUGUGGCUCAGCGGUAGAGCUCAUGUUUAGCAUGUGUGAAGCCCUGGGUUUGAUCCCCAACACCACAG
rnacentral:tRNA from 1 species